rnacentral:rRNA from 1 species
UACGGAAGGUGCAAGCGUUGCUCGGAAUCACUGGGCGUAAAGGGUGCGUAGGCGGCCUGAUAAGUAGGGGGUGAAAUCCUGCGGCUUAACCGCAGGGCUGCCUUCUAAACUGUCAGGCUCGAGCACAGUAGAGGCAGGUGGAAUUCCCGGUGUAGCGGUGGAAUGCGUAGAGAUCGGGAAGAACAUCAGUGGCGAAGGCGGCCUGCUGGGCUGUUGCUGACGCUGAGGCGCGACAGCGUGGGGGAGCAAACAGG